GUGCUCACUUCGGCAGCACAUAUACUAAAAUUGGAACUAUACAGAGAUGUUUAGCAUGGCCCCUGCACAAGGAUGAUACACAAAUUCAUGAAGCAUUCCAUAUUUUU
rnacentral:snRNA from 1 species